ACGUGAACGGUUCUCCUUAGCGGGCCAAGUUUGAAAAUCGAAAGAAGACUGAAACGAUGCUCGUGCGCCGUGUUAAUUUCGCAAAGUUUUAACACAAAUAUAUAGAUUCCUUAGAGAUUCUACUCUCAGCAUUUUGAGUGCGUGUAUAAUUACCUUGAUUGAUACCCACUGGCUAUAAGCUAGUUUGCUAAAUUUCGUAGUCCUUAAAACCGAAGCAACAAGUAAACAUCGCAAAGUUGAGAUACUCCGCUUGAGAUACAAAUAAAUGCCAAAAGUGUGUGUGCAAGUGUAUCGCGAUACUUCUGCGCAACAAAAUUGAAAAACGCGAGUGAAAGAGUUUCAUAAAUAUCGCGGCGGCAACCUGCUACUUACAGCUCGUCACCUGCAACUUGUUACCUGUAACUUGUAACCUGUAACCCCGUGCCGGUUUGUGCCCAGCACAGAAAUCGAACGAAACGAAAAGUUUCCUUCCGAAAGCAAGCGGCGUCAGCAAACACAAUUACCAAAAUAUAAACCCCAAUUAAAUGAAAACAUCUGCGGCAAAGCAACUUAAAUAAGGCAAACCUAUAAUAACCUAAAACUGUGUUACACAAAGUACUUAAACAGCAAAACAAACAAGAGUACUUAAGCAAACAUUCAGUUUCGACAUUAUACAAUAAUUAGAAACCCAAACAAAUACGCAAACAACAAACGUCAAACAUCGUCAGACAACAUCAAACAUCGUUCGCUAUGAAGAAGCUGUCACUAAAUAUGUGUUCCCGCAACAUAAAGAUCUCGGUGGUGCUGUUUCUCGUCUUGAUACCAAUCUUCACCGCCUUGCCACACAACCACAAUCUGUCGAAGCGCAGCAAUUUCUUCGAUCUGGAGUGCAAGGGCAUCUUUAACAAGACCAUGUUCUUCCGACUGGACCGCAUCUGUGAGGAUUGUUACCAGUUGUUCCGCGAGACGAGUAUACACCGAUUAUGCAAGAAAGACUGCUUUGAUUCAAAAUGGUUCGGCGAAUGCCUGAAAGUGCUGUUAAUACCCGAAGAGGAAAUAUCGAACUUACAGCACUUUCUGAGAGUCGUUAACGGCUCGCCCAUAUCCUUCAACAUGGCGCCGCAGACAUAACUUUAAGUCCCCGAUUUCCCCCAAUUUCCUACCCUACCCACCCGCUAAAAAAAACCCAUCCAAACACACAACAACACACACACACACACACUUCCCAAACACAACAAAAGUUGAAAUUCGCUGCGACUACAACCACAAAAUGCAGAGCCAAGAACAAAGAAAUCUAAAAUAUUAAAACGCCCAAAUUUAAUUCGUACUUAUUUAUUACUGUAUGCUUUACAGUUUUUACUAUAUAUGUGUUUUUUUAAAAACGAAUUAUUUUUAUUAAUUUAUUGAGAACGUUAUGCGUUUGUUGUAAGUAACAUAAUCGUAGGAAAGAAGUAGGGCGUUGGGAGAUAUAACAAAGCGAAUCGGAUCGUAAGGAUAAUGAGAUCCCUUUCGCUUCUCCGCCGCCACCGAAGUAUAUAGGAAGCCGAAGUAUUUAUUUAUAAGUAUUCUUAGCUUGUUUUAUUAUUAUUGCGUUAUGCGUUAUGUAUAUAAAAUAAACAAAACGAAAUCCACUGUUUUAAUCUAUGUAAUGUUAAAUGAUUAUUUUUAUUUUUUUGUACACUAUUGUAAAAUCAGCAUUUAACGUUUACAUUUUACACGAUUUUCCUGCAAAGGGCAAAAACAAACAAAAGGCAAAAGGAAAACCUAAUCCAUACUACACACACACCACACACACAGGAACACACACCCACACACGAGACCGAAAGUAUUUUGCAAAUGUAUUACAAUUACAAUUUCGUGCUAUUUUGUAAAGAUUAAACCCCUAAUUAGCGUAAAUUUGUUGGCAAAAAAAAGAGAAAGAGAGGAAAUAUGCAUAUAUCUAUCUAUACCUAACAAUUAUCCGAAUACUACGACACACACACACACACAACACAUACUAAAUGUUUAGUCUAAAUAACGCAAGAACGCAAUUUGUGCAAGACACAAACAAAAAUCCUCGGUAAAAACACGCAACAAACGUUUGAUUACAUUCAAAAUGUAGCAAAAACAAAAAAAAAAGCAUCACCACUAUAAGCCCAAAUGUAAAAUAAUAAAGGAUAAUCAUUCGCUGGCUAUUUGAAAGCAUCAAAAUUGUGAUAAAUGAGAAUUAGAAUGCGAAUGCGCGACGCGGAGAGGCCCAGAUGUGCCCAGAGGAUAUCCCAGCAGGAGAGAUCGCAGAUGCAGUCUUCAGUCUAUAGCCGCCAGUGAAGGAUAUCGCUAAACAGCCUGUGAAACAUUAUGCACGCGAUUCUGGGCGCCCAAUUAAAAACGCCUGCUUACCGUUUUUGUUUUGGCAAGAAUGCUUCGGAUCGCCCUUCUUCAACGCCUGCAUUGAGGCUCUACAGCUGCACGAGG